AUGCCGGAGAAUUACCGCCCCGUUUCCCUCCAAAACUGCUCCGUCAAGCUAGCCUCCAAGUGUCUCUCCAACCGUGCCCUACCCCUGAUUCCCCAGAUAAUUCACUAUGAUCAAACUGGCUUCAUCAGAGGCCGCGGGAUUGCAGAGAAUUUUGUCCAUGCAGCUGAUAUUGUUCAAACUUGUUUCAAACGGCGCUCGCCGGCAAUUGUGCUCAAACUCGACUUCCAUAAAGCUUUCGACUCGGUCUCCUGGACUGCCUUAUUUGCGAUUAUGCGAGCCAAAGGUUUCCCACCCUGGUGCCUCUGGGUUGAAAUCUUGAACACUACAGCCAGCUCUGCUGUUCUUCUGAAUGGAAAACCAGGCCCCUAGUUCCAAUGCCGCAAGGGCCUGCGGCAAGGUGACUCUCUUUCCCCCUAUCUGUUCAUCAUCGUCGCUGAUGUCUUAAAGCGUCUGAUUUUACACGCUUCCGAAAACGGGCUCCUGUCCCACCCUCUGGCUAGUGACCGUCCGUGCACAGUCUUGCAAUAUGCCGAUGACACCCUAAUAGUGCUUCCCCUGGACGCGCAACAGCUGCUCACUCUCAAACAAAUCCUUCUUCAGUUCUCCGAGACCACAUGCCUCACCAUCAACUUCCACAAAAGCACUUUCACGCCUAUUCACGUGGACAAGGAGCUCUCGGAAAGCCUGGCGGCUAUCCUAGGAUGCCAGGUAGCUUCCUUCCCACAAUCCUACCUAGGUUUGCCCCUUUCCACUCAUAAGCUUAACCUAUCGGAUUUCUUCUUCAUCAUCGACAAGGUCGACAAACGUCUAGCCGGAUGGAGGGGAUUGCUUCUGUCUCUGGCUGGUAGGGCGGUUUUGGUUCGCUGCUAUGAGUGUCUUCUUGCUCCCCGCCGGAACUCUGCAGGAAAUCGAAAAACGAUGUAG
rnacentral:rRNA from 1 species